AUGGGGAUGAGGCGCCGGAUCCGGUGUUCAUUGGGAUAUUUGUGUUUAUCUCUACUCGGGGCAACCGUGACCCUGCUGGAGUGCGGGGGGGACCUCCAGCCCCCCGGGGGGUCCCUGACUCUGCUCUGCCGCGGGUCUGGGUUCAAUUUCGGGAGCCACGACUUGUACUGGAUCCGCCAAAAACCUGGGAAGGAGCUGGAAUUUGUCGCCAGUAUCACCAGCAGUGGCAGUUACACCUACUACGCGUCGUCGCUGCAGGGCCGGUUCUCGAUCUCCAGGGACAACGGGCAGAGCUCGGUGACGCUGACCAUGAACAGCCUCAAGGACGAGGAUUCCGCCGUUUAUUUCUGUGCCAGAUGUUACAGCAGUGGUUGUGGUGCUCCUGCUGCUGGUCUUGUUGGUCUCGGAGAUGAUUCUAGCUGUGGCUAA